UAGGGAAUCUUCGGCAAUGGACGGAAGUCUGACCGAGCAACGCCGAGUGAGUGAAGAAGGUUUUCGGAUCGUAAAGCUCUGUUGUUAGAGAAGAACGUUGGUAGGAGUGGAAAAUCUACCAAGUGACGGUAACUAACCAGAAAGGGACGGCUAACUACGUGCCAGCAGCCGCGGUAAUACGUAGGUCCCGAGCGUUGUCCGGAUUUAUUGGGCGUAAAGCGAGCGCAGGCGGUUCUUUAAGUCUGAAGUUAAAGGCAGUGGCUUAACCAUUGUACGCUUUGGAAACGGGAGGACUUGAGUUCAAAAGGGGAGAGUGGAAUUCCAUGUGUAGCGGUGAAAUGCGUAGAUAUAUGGAGGAACACCGGUGGCGAAAGCGGCUCUCUGGUCUGUAACUGACGCUGAGGCUCGAAAGCGUGGGGAUCAAAAAGG
rnacentral:rRNA from 1 species